UAUUAUGUAUUCUAGUGCUACAAGUAUUUAAGUGUUUUUAACAUUGCAUUAAUAUACAUUGAAUAUAUCUCAAUUCAUUUGUAAAAGUGAUAAGAUAAAAACAUAUGGCUAAAAUUCUCAAACUUCUUUAUGUUACAGUUUUGUUUUUGUCCUUACUCUUUCUUUCAGCAAAGGCUAUCUUUCCAUGUGAAACUGUUGAAGAUUGUGCAAACUUGUUUGCUACCGACAAUACGUUCGAAAUGCAAGUCUUGUGCAUUGAUAAAGUAUGUCGUCUGGCUAUGCUGAUGUAAGGAAAAAAUAAAAAAAAUAUACAUUGUCGUAAGAAUAAGAAUAAUAAAUAUAUCUUACUGUUGAAUAUUUCAUAAGUUGUCAUUUAAGAUUUAUGCUUCCAACCAAGAAUAGUAUUUUUAUAUACAUUGAAAUUAUGAAUUUGUUCUCUAUAA